UCCUCCGUGGCGCAAUUGGCUAGCGCGUUCGACUGUUAUUAACAGAUGAUCGAGAGGUUGACAGUUCAAGCCUGUCCGGGGGAG